rnacentral:rRNA from 1 species
CAAUAGCGUAUACUAAAGUUGUUGCAGUUAAAAAGCUCGUAGUCGAAUUUGGGCCCGAUUUGCAAGAUGACUCAAAUGAGUCUUAGGCAUCUCGGGUCCUAUUUUGUCAUCACCGGACUCGCUCAAUAUUGGGCAGUUAGAUAGGUGACAUUUUUUACUGUGAACAAAAUAGAGUGUUCAUGGCAGGCCUUUGGAAGGCUUAGAUACCUCAGCAUGGAAUAAUAGAAUAGGACUUCCGGUUCUAUUUUGUUGGUUUUUGGAGCCGAAGUAAUGAUUAAUAGGGAUAGUUGGGGGCACUCGUACUCCGUUGUCAGAGGUGAAAUUCUUGGAUUUACGGAAGACGAACAACUGCGAAAGCAUCUCCCAAGGAUGUUUUCAUUA